rnacentral:rRNA from 1 species
CCUACGGGGGGCAGCAGUGAGGAAUAUUGGUCAAUGGGCGCGAGCCUGAACCAGCCAAGUCGCGUGAGGGAGGACGGCCCUACGGGUUGUAAACCUCUUUUGCCGGGGAGCAACGGGCGUCACGUGUGGCGCCACUGAGAGUACCCGGAGAAAAAGCAUCGGCUAACUCCGGGCCAGCAGCCGCGGUAAUACGGAGGAUGCGAGCGUUAUCCGGAUUUAUUGGGUUUAAAGGGUGCGUAGGCGGACCGUUAAGUCAGUGGUCAAAUUGAGGGGCUCAACCGUGGAAUUGCAGUUGAAACUGGAGGCCUUGAGUGCACACAGGGAUGCCGGAAUUCAUGGUGUAGCGGUGAAAUGCUUAGAUAUCAUGAAGAACUCCGGUCGCGAAGGCAGGUGUCCGGGGUGCAACUGACGCUGAGGCUCGAAAGUGCGGGUAGCAAACAGGAUUAGAUACCCCAGUAGUC